rnacentral:rRNA from 1 species
AGUUUGGACAAUGGGGGAAACCCUGCUCUAGCCAUCACGCGCGUUUGAUGAAGGCAUUUUGGCUGUUAGGUACUCUUGGUAGAGGUGAAAAGGUAUCCCCUAAUAUGGGAUACUGCUGUCGGUAUCUCCAGAAUAAGCACCGGCUAUCUACUUCCCAGCUGCCGCGGUAAUACGUAGGGUGCAAGCGUUAAUGGGAAUUACUGGGCGUAAACCGUGUGUAGGCGGUUCGGAAAGAAAGAUGUGAAAUCCCAGGGCUCAACCUUGGAGCUGCAUUUUUAACUGCCGAGCUAGAGUAUGUCAGAGGGGGGUAGAAUUCCACGUGUAGCAGUGAAAAGCGUAGAUAUGUGGAGGAAUACCGAUGGCGUAGGCAGCCCCCUGGGAUAAUACUGACGCUCAGACACGAAAGCGUGGGGAGCAAACAGG